AGAAGGCUGCGGCCAGGGCUGAGGAAACAGGAGUUUUCUGAGGUCUACCAUCAGACUCGUCCAACUUAGCAGGAACUGCAGGACCCUUUUCUGGAUCUGUGACAGGAACUUGAAUACUGUUUUAUCUGUGUCCUGCCAGCUGCUUCUCUCCUGAUCCUGCAAGCCCAAAGAGAAAAUCCUUACUACCAGGAGCUUCUUCCACAAGGCUCCUCCAAGCCUAAAGAGAGUUAGAUCUCAAAGGGUUUCUAUUGCUGUGAUAUGACCAAAAGCAGCUUGGGAAGAGUUUGUCUCAUCUUGUUCUUCAACAUCACAGUCUGUCAAAGGAAGUGAAGGCAAGAACUUGGAGCUUGCUCCAUUUGCAAAAUACUCUCUUCAUACGAGGCAGCUUUGAAAUUUUCUUUGUCAAUAAAAUUAAUAUAAACCUCCUCACCUUAACUUCAGACACACUCUUCAGACAAGGGCAAAAAGCAGCCACAUUCAUCACCAAAAUAUCACAAGAAUGAUCUCUAGGCAAAAUACUAAGAUUCUUCUCCUCAGAAAACUCUUGAGCCAGGCCCCAACAGUUCAAAUUACCCUUACCACCAAUGUCUUCCACAUUCACAUUGGAGUGGUCCAUUGAGCCCUGCUUAAAGCAUUUUACUGUUUUCCUAAUCCAAAAUAAAUCCAUAGUUCCUUAAA
rnacentral:lncRNA from 1 species